GUACCUUUUUCUGAGUCCCAGGGUUGAAGCUCAGGGAUGGAGCCACCAGCUGCCUCUAGUGACCAUCUCCAGCCCCCUGGAGAGAUCCUGGGUUUGAUUCUCAGCACCCAUGUGGUAAUUCCCAAGUGUCUCUAAUCCCACGGUUCCAGAGGAUCUGAUGGCCUCUUCUGACCUCUGAAGGCAACAAGCAUGCAUGUAGUGUGUGUCUGAGACACACACAGAAUUACGCAUGCACAUAUACAGUCACACAUAUACAUAUGCAUAUACAGUCACAUGGUCUCUCCCUCCCUCCCUCUGUCUGUCUGUCUGUCUGUCUGUCUGUCUGUCUGUCUCUCUCGCGCUCUCUCUCUCACACACACACACACACACACACUGAGUUCAAGGCUUAGUUUGCAUGUGCCUAACAUAUGAUCACUAACACUUGCCAUAUUUGCCCAGUACAAGUAAAACAUAUAGACGCUUUGCUUCUAAACUACACAUACCACAUGUCAGCUACCGGACGGAAAGUGUCUG
rnacentral:lncRNA from 1 species